rnacentral:rRNA from 1 species
AAUGAACGUUGGCGGCGUGGAUUAGGCAUGCAAGUCGAGCGGCAGCAGGCCCGCAAGGGCGCUGGCGAGCGGCGAAAGGGAGAGUAACACGCGGGUACCUACCCUCGGGACCGGGAUAGCUGCGGGAAACUGCAAUUAAUACCGGAUAAUGUCCCCGGACCAAAGGUGUGAUUCCGCCUGGGGAGGGGCCCACGUCCUAUCAGCUAGUUGGUGAGGUAAUGGCUCACCAAGGCAACGACGGGUACGGGGUGUGAGAGCAUGCCCCCGCUCACUGGGACUGAGAUACUGCCCAGACACCUACGGGUGGCUGCAGUCGAGAAUCUUCCGCAAUGGGCGAAAGCCUGACGGAGCGACGCCGCGUGCGGGAUGAAGGCCUUCGGGUUGUAAACCGCUGUCAGAGGGGAACAAAUUCAUGGGGGUUCUCCCCUGUGUUUGAGUGAUCCUCAGAGGAAGCACAGGCUAAGUCCGUGCCAGCCGCCGCAGUAA